CUUUUGAAGGAGGAAGGCAAAGUUCUAGAAGAACAUGUAAGAUAGAAGCUACUACUGCAGCCAUCUUUGGAAAAUGCAGUCCUGCCAGACAAAGAUCACAGAGCUAUUCUGCUUUGACAGAAUGGAGCAGUUCAAACCAGGAGACGAAGAAUCAAAGAUCAGCUGGGCAGAAAAGCUCCCUACCACAUAAUGAACAAGGUUACAUGGUCAGACACAGCCCCGAACUCAGUGUCCCCAGGGCCUGACAUGCUGAAGAUACUCAAUGAAUGUUUAUGGAAUGAAUGAGAGCCAAGAGAC
rnacentral:lncRNA from 13 species